GGAGCACAGGCUGAAGGAGAGUGGAAGACAGCAGUUGGCCUGUGAUGGGGCAUUGAGAGAAAGAGAUUCUUACCCCCAUUCCACAGGGGAGAAACUGAGGCUCAGGGAGACUUAAGGAUCAUGCUGAAGAGGUUAUCUGGGGACAAAGCUUACUCAGGAUGUGGAGGGGGAUGCUGAGGAACAGAGACUGGAGCCUGGGAAGAAGUACAAUGCUGAUUAUGAUCUGUCAGCUCGGCAAGGGGCAGACACCCUGGCCUUCAUGUCUCUCCUGGAGGAGAAGUUGCUCCCGGUGCUGGUACAUACUUUUUGGAUAGACACCAAGAACUACGUGGAAGUGACCCGGAAGUGGUAUGCAGAGGCUAUGCCCUUUCCCCUCAACUUCUUCCUGCCUGGCCGCAUGCAGCGGCAGUACAUGGAACGGCUACAGCUGCUGACCGGGGAGCACAGGCCUGAGGAUGAGGAAGAGCUGGAGAAGGAGCUGUACCGAGAGGCUCGAGAGUGUCUGACCCUGCUCUCUCAGCGCCUGGGCUCUCAAAAGUUCUUCUUUGGAGAUGCCCCUGCCUCCUUGGACGCCUUCGUCUUUAGCUACUUGGCCCUGCUGCUGCAGGCAAAGCUGCCCAGUGGGAAGCUGCAGGUCCACCUGCGGGGGCUGCACAACCUCUGUGCCUAUUGUACCCACAUUCUCAGUCUCUACUUCCCCUGGGAUGGAGCUGAGGUACCACCGCAACGCCAGACACCAGCAGGCCCAGAGACUGAGGAGGAGCCAUACCGGCGCCGGAACCAGAUCCUAUCUGUGCUGGCAGGACUGGCAGCCAUGGUGGGCUACGCCUUGCUCAGUGGCAUUGUCUCCAUCCAGCGGGCAACGCCUGCUCGGGCCCCAGGCACCCAGACCCUGGGCAUGGCUGAGGAGGAUGAAGAGGAAUGAUUUGUCCUCA
rnacentral:sRNA from 1 species